GGAGGAGUGCCCCGAGAGCAAAAGAAAAAGAGAGACGGGGUCCAGCAAGCCAGAGAGGGUGGUGAGGUUUCAUUCCUUUUUGUUUCCCUUUUUUAAAUUUUGCCGUUGCUUCCAUCAUAAUAUUAAUAUAUAUUUUUUUUGUUUCUCACUCGCUCACUUUCUCUCGCUUUCUUACUGUCCAAACAGUUUUAUGCUCUCUCUGCUUUCGCUCUUUCUAUGUCUCUUGCUUUCACUCUUUCUAUCUCUAAACACCCUCGCACUUCCUUUUCUCUCACACUUACUCACUGAAAUAAUAUGAGCAGAGUGCGCGUUGCAUUUCACCACCGGUUAUGAAUCCCACCACCGAACCAUCACAACUUCAGCCGCCACAGCCACCACAGCCCCACCGUCCUUCCACCUCCUGCGAUCGUCAUCCAGACGAACAUUUCACCGGCUUCUGCCCCUCAUGCCUCUGCGAGCGCCUCGCCGUGCUCGAGCCCUCUUCAUCCUCCGCUUCCUCUUCUCGCAAACCCCCCAUUCCUACCACCAGCACCGCCACCGCUGCCCUUAAAGCCAUUUUUAAGCCUUCCGGUGGUACUGGCAGCUCUAAGCCUUCCUUUUUCCCUGAGCUCCGCCGCACCAAGUCUUUCUCUGCCUCCAAAAACGAGGGCUUCUCUGGAGUGUUUGAGCCCCAGAGAAAAUCCUGCGACGUUAGGGUUCGCAGCACUCUCUGUUCCCUCUUUUAUCAAGACGACGAGCGAAAUACUUCUAAAAGGGACUCCUUCAAAGGUCCUGAAAUCGAGUUUGAGUCCAGAAUUUCUUCCUCCAGCGUUCGAGGUCCCGUUUUUGAGUCUAAAGAAGAGGACGAAAUCGAAACCGACACCGAUAAUGAGAGUGGAGUUUUAGACGAGCCCAUUUUAACUGCAAGAAAUUCCAACGCCAACCCAAUUGAAGAGAUUAUACAGGAAGAGGAAGCUAUUGUUAUAGAGCCAGAGAAAGUGCAAGAGGAGGAGCUCAAGCCCAUGAAGGACCACAUAGAUCUCGAUUCACAAACCAAGAAGCCUUCUGGGAGGGAUUUUAAAGAGAUUGCAGGUAGUUUUUGGUCUGCUGCUUCAGUUUUCAGCAAGAAAUUGCAGAAAUGGAGGCAAAAGCAGAAGCUCAAAAAGCGGAGGAAUGGUGGACCAGGGUCGGCCACAUUGCCAGUGGAGAAGCCGAUUGGCCGGCAGUACAGGGAGACCCAGUCGGAAAUUGCGGAUUACGGGUUUGGCAGAAGAUCUUGCGACACGGAUCCGAGAUUCUCGCUCGAUGCAGGCAGGAUUUCGUUCGAUGAUCCUCGCUACUCCUUCGAUGAGCCCCGUGCAUCGUGGGAUGGAUAUUUGAUUGGAAGAACGUUUCCGAGAAUGCCCACCAUGGUUUCUGUGGUUGAGGAUGCUCCUGUUAAUGUUGUUUUAAGGUCAGAUACUCAAAUCCCAGUUGAAGAACCACAGCCAAUUCCCAUGAAUUCCAUCCACGAGGAUGAGAUUGUUCCUGGUGGCUCUGCUCAAACCAGGGACUAUUAUUCUGAUUCUUCGUCUAGGAGGAGGAGGAGCUUCGACAGGUCUAAUUCUAUUAGGAAAACUGCUGCGGCUGUGGUGGCUGAGAUUGACGAGUUGAAGCAUGAGCAUGCUUCUGCUUCUGCUUCCGCUGCCAAUGCUAAAGUGUCACCGGCAACUGUGGAUUACUUCCAUGCACCCAAGUUGGUGGUUCCUGACAGGGAUUCAAACUCCAAUUCUUUAAGGGACGACUGCUCUGAGACUUUUGAAAUGGGAUUCAGGGACCACGCAUCAAUAGUGGGGAAUGGUGAAAGGAAGGGGGCCAAGAAGUCCCGAAGAUGGAGUAAGGCCUGGAAUAUUUGGGGGUUUAUACACCGGCGAAGUGUCAACAAAGAUGAGGACGAGGAUAUGUAUAGCAGAGCAAAUGGGGUUGAGAGGUCAUUUUCAGAAUCUUGGCAAGAAUUGAGAGAGGAACGGAAUGGAGAAGUGAGAGGAGCUUUUAAUCCAAAGAUUUGGAGGAGCAAUAGCAGUGUUAGUUGGAGGAAUUCCAAUGGUCUGGGUGGUGGAUCAUUUGGUAGUGCAAGAAAGAGCAGUGUUGAGACUAAUGGGCAUGGAAGAAAGAAGAGAGAUGAGUUUGUGUUGGAGAGGAAUAGAAGUGCAAGGUAUUCACCAAACAACAUUGAUAAUGGACUGUUAAGGUUCUACUUGACACCGAUGAGGAGUAGCCGGAGAGGUGGGUGGGGGAAGAACAAGUCCACUCAUGCACAGUCUAUUGCAAGGAGCGUAUUGCGAUUGUACUGAAUUGAAUUGGGUGGGAGGUCCAUAAAGGUGUUUCUUUGGUUUAAUGUUGUUAAUUUUGAUGCAUUUGUUGUGUAAGCACACAUGCUUAAUGUAUUCUUCAUGAGUUGGUUGGUUGGAUAAAAAAAAUCACCCCUGAAUUUGUUGCCUUUCUUAACAGGCUAGGACAUAGAGACCAUGUGUGCUUGGCUUUGGAUUCAAUUGGAUUCAAUUGGGCUUUGGAUUCAAUUGGGGUUUCUAUUUUUGUUCUUGUCCUACUGCAUAGAAUUUGCUGAUAGCCUAUAGGUCAAGGCUGCAAGGUUCUCUCGGAGCAUUUUAACCCAAACGAUUGUCAUAUUCUAUAUCCUUUGGGACAAAAAGGAGUCUUGAUGUGAGCUUAUGUCCCCUUUGUUAUUGGUCCCAAAUUCAUGGUCACAGUAGAGGUUUUCCUUCUUCGAGGUUCAGUGGUCAGUCUGACCCUCUUGCGAGACCAUGAGGUUGGUUUGGUCCUUUGCGUUGCUAGGGAAGACCACUUGCAUCUAUCAUUGGGUGAUUUCUACUGUUUAACCUGGGGAAUAGGGAAUAAUAGGUUAAUAAUGGAGACAGAAUAUUAUUGUCAUCCUAUUGUACCUUAUUUGAUGUUCUCUUUCCUCCAAUUGCUUUUUCUUGAGCUUUCAAGAAUUGGAGAUCAAAUUUCAGUGGUUCUAGUAAUUAAAGUAGUUGCCUGAUUAAUCAGGUAACAGGAAGGAAGCAAUGCCUGUACCUGCAGGUGCAGAACAGGAAUAUGGUAGAGCCAGAGACCUGCAGACUGCACUGAAUACAUCAGACUUAGACAUAUACUUUUGGUGUCUGAUAUCUGCUGAACAAAGAAAGAAAUAAUAGCUCCAUAAGCUACUGAUGUAGAAGAUGAAAUGCUUUUCUGCAGAAAUCAUAGUUCAGAAUGAUUAAGAUCCUCUUUGUUCUAGUGUAGCGUGCUAUGAUCUCGUGUAAUAUAUUCCCUUCCUCUGUUUCAAAAAUCAUUUGCUCGUGGACACAAUGAGAACUCUCUACUUAUCGUUAUCUACAGCUCGUGGCUGUGUAUUGUGAAGUUAAAGCCUAAAAAGCUUGCAAAAUCAAGACAAAAAG
rnacentral:misc_RNA from 1 species